UGAACAAAUUGUAUACUCGCGGUAAACGUAUUAUAUACAUUAUAGGGGGCGUCAACGUCGAAUUCUCCUCUCGCGCGUCCACCGCUGAUAACAGAAUCAUUAAAGAAUCAUUACAGUGUAAUUCGGAACUCAUUCCGUAGUUAUUACAAAGCAGACGUUCGACGUAUUAAACGGGAACUGAUUUUAGAUUAGACGAGAAAAUUAUAUCGGUUUUACUACGUGUUUUUUUUUUUUAUUAUUUAUAUUUAAUUUUGGAUCUCGUCGCCGUGUAAGUAAGCCGCGUUUUGACUAAUUAAUCGGUUUUCAUAACGAUCGGGAAAG